UUACGGGUCGCUGCAGUAAGGAAUAUUGCGCAAUGGAGGCAACUCUGACGCAGCCAUGCCGCGUGCAGGAAGAAGGCCUUAUGGGUCGUAAACUGCUUUUAUUUAGGAAUAAACCCCCGAACGUGUUCGGGGCUGAAGGUACUAAACGAAUAAGCACCGGCUAACUCCGUGCCAGCAGCCGCGGUAAUACGGAGGGUGCAAGCGUUAUCCGGAUUUAUUGGGUUUAAAGGGUGCGCAGGCGGGCUAUUAAGUCAGUGGUGAAAUCCCGGGGCUCAACUCCGGAACUGCCAUUGAUACUGAUAGUCUUGAGUUUGGUUGAAGUGGGCGGAAUGUAGCAUGUAGCGGUGAAAUGCAUAGAUAUGCUACAGAACACCAAUCGCGAAGGCAGCUCACUAAGCCAAAACUGACGCUCAUGCACGAAAGCGUGGGGAUCAAACAGGAUUAGAUACCCGGGUAGUC
rnacentral:rRNA from 1 species